UAUAUAUAUAUAUAUAUAUUCUUUUUUUCUUUUUACAAUCGAAAUCGCAUUCUCACAGUCCUAUGGUAAUCAUGAAUGCAUGUUGAAGGUUUAGAAAAGACCAUACAAAUUAAUUAUAUGCACAAUUACAAACUUCGAGUUUCAAGAAAGAGAAAAAAAGAAAAUAAUUCACGCAUUCUUACACGACAUGUAAGGAUUUUGCUUAAAGCCCCUUUCCCUUCAACAUCAGUAUUGCAUAACAGUGCAUUCAUGGAGAAAAUAACAAAACCCACCCGCUAGAAUUCGAACUUCUAGUUCAGCUGUUUGUAGCAGCUAUAGGCAACAGCUACUGACACUGCAGCACAGGCAACAGCAAGAGCUGCAUAUGUAUCCUCACGCUCCCAGCUCUCAAACCAUGUUGGCAUAGCGGCAACCUUACGCGUAGAUAACCCUUUUCCACUGUUAAUCCGGGAUAGUAGUCUCUUGCUGCUCUUCUUCUUCUCAAGUGACCCCUUCAAACCCUUCUCAUUGGCAUCUUGAGCCUCCUUAUGAGGUAAGGAAAGAUUUUGGCAACAAGUAGAAUUUCCAUUUUGCUGACAACAUUUCACAACUUCUACUUCAGAACUUGUUGCUGCAGAGCAUGCUUCAUCUAUCUGGGUUUGUGUCAACUUAUUAGAGCUCUUUCCCACACCUGUAUCACCUUUUAGUUGGAGCCUUAGCUCUUGGGAUUUGAUCUGCUCUUCUUCAGAUAAACCCAUCUGGCCCCUGAAAUCAGUACUCAAAUGCCCAUUAAAAUAAACUAGGCAUUUUUAUUAAUCAGGUAUUCAGCAGAAUCAACAGGGAUAAUAAAUGUGUGAAUAUCUAAAGAUUAAUGAAAUCAGGAAGGAACAUCAUAUAAGCAUGCAUCCGCUUGUUCCUAGUAGUCUAGUACAACCAGCAAUCUCAAAGUUCAAUCCCCCAGCUUGAUCACAAUUGAUCAAAGGAAGCGAUAUAAUUUCACAAUCUUAUUGCAGAUCUAUCAUAUAUUCAACCACUGCAACCAAACUGUGGUUCCAGGGAAAAAGAAAAUUUAAAAACUGCCUCAAUAGCCAGCUUUGGCGAGAAAUUUGGGAAUUACCUCCAUAGCCAAUCUACAAUUUCUCCUUUUCCAAUAUGCUGCUCUAGUAAUAUGGGUACGUCAUCUGGGGUAACAUAUCCGUACCUGCAAGAUUUUAAGAUUAUUAUCUUAAAAUAGUUAGACUAUCUAGAAAUGAAUCUAUGCACUGCAGCAACAGAAACAAACAAAUAAAGGAUAAAUUCAAAACUUAAGGUAUGAGAAAUUGAAGAAACGCAGAUCUGCCACUUACCAGUGUCCAGUGAUAACUCCAUUCAUGCUUGAUCCAAUAAUAAUGACAUUUCCUGCAUACUUAUGCCCGCCAAUGUGAGAGCAUGGGCUAGCAGACACUUUACCUCUAAGUCCAUGUAAUUCUAUCUCCUCUUUGAAUUUACUGACCAAAGCAGGACCACAAACACCACACCGACGAUCUCGGGAUCCAUGAGAACAUACAAAAACAUAAAAGCCCUUAAGUGUUUCUGGAGUUCCAGGCAGCCAUUCACCAUCCUUCACAAGCACUUCCUCAACAAAUGUGUCAACAUCAAAAUGUGUCAAUCUCCUGCAUCCUUCGCUAAGGUCAAGGUCAGUAUUAAAGCAGAAAAAUAUGAAUUCAAGAACAGGAUCUAGAACCACAAAACCAGUCAUUGAUUGACCUGUAUCUGAUCAUGUCUGGGAAGAUUAAUACAUCUCCAUUUGAUGUCUCAGUUCCAUCAUGUCCCUCACAUAUUGUUAAGCGAGUCUAGAUGACAAAAUUGGGAAUGAGCUUAUAUAUUUAUUUAUUUACUUGUUUCACGAAAGAGCAGAGCCCAUAUAAGUAAACACAUAUACAUGAACACAUAAAAAAUGUACAUCUACAUGCAAAUGUGUGCAGAAAAACAAAAACAUAGAUAUCACAUUAAAUAAAUUUACAUCAUGCUCAAUUAAGCAUAAAGCAGUCAACUACAAAUGGCAGGCAACAGGAUCGAUAAACAAAAUUCCAUGCCAACCUAAAUAAAUCAAUGCAUGCAAAUCUCUUUUGCCAAAAGUAAUUCCAAUACUAGAUGAACUUCCAUACUUUUGCUUUCUUAUGAUUUAUGAAACAAGAAACUAACCAACUGCACACAUAACUAACAAUGAAAUUCAUUUAAUGAUUGAUAGGCUGCAUCUCCUAAUCAUUUUUCUUCCAGAUUCUCCUAAAUUAAGCAUCCACAUGAGAAUUUGCAUUCCAACACAGGCAUUACACAUACAUUUGUCACCGUAUAGACAGACCACAUGCACAUAAAACAUACAAACAUGAAUGAUUUCUGUACAGAAAAACAAAAAAUCCCAACUUUUAUUAUCCGUCCUUCACAAUAUACCAAACUAGAUCAUUCUGCUAAAUAAGAACAAACAUACUAAACAUAACAGUCAGACAAUCAAUUCAUGUGUGAAAGUCAAACACGAGCUAAUAAAUGACUAUCAAAGAAUUUUUCAUAAGUUUCCUGCGGACAUAAACCCAUUAAGUAACCUGGUGAUGACUCAUAAGCCAUAAGAGUCUCCUGCUCCUUGUGAAACUCAAACUUCUGUAUUUCUUAGAUGUCAGCAUACAUCUUGAACUGAUUAAUGAUGAUUAAUUAAUAAAAGUUUUCAAAAUCAACUUCAUUACAUUUCUUAGUCCACCAAAAGAUAAGCCAUAAUAAACGACAGCUGAUAUGAAUAAGAUUUUAGUACUAAAAAUUAUGCUGCAAUAUAAGAAUCAAAAUUUCAAAAAUCCUGAGAGAAGGGUUUGUGGGUGUUUUCCUAUCAUAGUAUUUAUUUAAUUCCAUCGUGCAAGGUCCAAAUGCCUCACUCAGUCACUUAAAGAGAAAUUUUUGAAUUGUAGCAGUGAUAUGAUGACUGAGCUCCAACUAUUGGCCUACCUAAUAUUAUCAUUUUUACCUUUGCUGGACCACAUAAAUAACAGGCAAUAAGUCAAGAUUGAAAUUUGCUCUCCCUCAACCAAGUCAAAGUCACAACAUUAAAUCUAACUCAAAGGGUGGGGGAAGGAAUCCUGACCUUAAAAUUUCUAACAAAUGGAUUUGAAUCCCAUUUAUUGACAUUACUCGGUCUAAUGAAUUUGAAGUAACCCACAUCAAACGUCAGUCUAAUAAGUCCAAAUUUGGGGCUUUCAAAAAAUCCUAUAGCACACAACAAGCCCCAGUUCAGUUAACUGCAAAGAAAACCAACCCAUAAAAAAUUCCAUUAGUCUCAAGCAAACACCUCCAAAUGAGUCCAAAAGUUCAAAUGAUCCCACGGUCACUUCUCAAACUCAACCAGUCUACAAACCACCAAGACCCCAUUCGAAUUUAGGAACAGUAAGAGCAUCCCACAUCAAAAUUGAAACUCUAGGUCACACACCUUCAAAUAACACAUAAACUGAACCAAUGCAGAAGCCUUCAAAAGAAACCCAUUUCAAUUCACUAAAACCAGAGUAACCCAGAUCCAAAAUGAAGCCAAAAAGGACAAAACUGAAAAAACCCACAUCAAAAGCAAAAGGGGAAACAAACCUCUUUCUUCAUAUCACCCUUUCUAGCCAUGACAGCAGCAGAGAGCAACCUAGGCAAUCGAUCAAACUCUGCAGCUUCGAUCCUUGGUGGCCAGACAGACGGGUUCUUGUAACAUAAAAACACGUGACGUUCAUAGAACUGCACAGUUCCAGCGAGAGGGCUCUGCCUGAACUCGGGCCUAGAGAAGCCGAAUUCGGCAUCACUGCUACUGGCGCUUUCGUUGAGAAAACCCGCGUCGUUUUGGAAGCUAUUGGAGGCGCUGCCUAGGUGGGAACCAGAUGGAUCUGCAGUGAGGAAGGUAGUAUCAAGAUGGUCAGAAACUGUGAUUGGAGAGGAUGAGGAUGAAGGAUUAUUGGGGUAUAAAAGUGAAUCUUCUCUGUUGCUUGUCAUGUCAGACAAAUAAAUGAAAGAGCUUUUUAGAGAGGUGUUGUUACAAAGGAGGUUGGGGAUGGAGUGAGACGUGAGUGGUUUCUUUCAGUUCCAGUGGAGUAGGAAGAAGGGAGGAUUUGUUGUACCGAGGCAGUAAGCUGGCUUUGACAUUUUGUUUGGCUUAUUUUCUCACUCCUUUUCUUUCUCUGUUCAGAUGUUAAAUGGGUUAUCCAUUUCUGAU
rnacentral:misc_RNA from 1 species